rnacentral:rRNA from 1 species
GCGAAAACUUUGCAAUACACGAAAGUGUGACAGGGCUAUCCCGAGUGCCAUCCGCUGAGGAAGGCUUUUACCCAGUCUAGAACGCUGGGGGAAUAAGGAGAGGGCAAGUCUGGUGUCAGCCGCCGCGGUAAUACCAGCUCUCCGAGUGGUGUGGAUGUUUAUUGGGCCUAAAGCAUCCGUAGCUGGCUGAGUUAGUCCCUUGUUAAAUCCACCGAAUUAAUCGUUGGAUUGCGGGGGAUACUGCUCGGCUAGGGGACGAGAGAGGCAGACGGUAUUUCCGGGGUAGGGGUGAAAUCCUAUAAUCCCGGGAAGACCACCAGUGGCGAAGGCUGUCUGCUAGAACGCGCCCGACGGUGAGGGAUGAAAGCUGGGGGAGCGAACCGGAUUAGAUACCCGGGUAGUCCCAGCUGUAAACGAUGCAGGCUAGGUGUUUGGACGGCCACGUGCCGUUCUAGUGCCGCAGGGAAGCUGUUAAGCCUGCCGCCUGGGGAGUACGAUCGCAAGAUUGAAACU